GACAGUGUGGCCUAGUGGUUUGAGUGUUGGACUACAACUCUGGAGAUCAGGGUACGAUUCUCUGUUGGCC
rnacentral:tRNA from 1 species